rnacentral:rRNA from 1 species
GAUCAUGGCUCAGGAUGAACGUUGGCGGCGUGCUUAACACAUGCAAGUCGAACGAAGCACUUUGGGCAGAUUCUUCGGAUGAAGUCCUUAGUGACUGAGUGGCGGACGGGUGAGUAACGCGUGGGUAACCUGCCCUGUACAGGGGGAUAACAGCUGGAAACGGCUGCUAAUACCGCAUAAGCGCACGAGGAGACAUCUCCUUGUGUGAAAAACUCCGGUGGUACAGGAUGGGCCCGCGU